UUUUACUUAUUACUUAUGACUUUGUUUAUGUCAAAAUUAGGAAACUUUAACAUCAUGAAGAAUAAGAAAACAAAGACUAUCGAUGGCAAUUUAGGGCAUGUUUCCAAAAAAUUUCAUCGAUUCUACUUUGUCAAGCUUUCUUCAAUAGAUCCAGAAUCAAUAUCAAUAAUCAAAAAGGAAGAGAAAGUGAUUCAGAAAAUGAAUCAAGACAUUUGUGAAAUCACAGAAAUGAUCACAAAGAACGGGUCAAAAAGAGAUUAUCUGGAUUCUGUUUUGAAUCGGUUAAAAUUUUCACAACAUUAUCGGAUAUACUGUAUGGAGAAUAGAGAAAAGGUACUGAGAGGUUUAUAUAUGGCACUUGAUGAAUUGAAUUUCAGGAGUAUGAAAAAAGCAAAUGGAGGAUGCUUGGGGGAAAAGCUUGAUGAAAAUUCUUUGAGUUAUUUGAAGCUACAUGGAAGCAAAAGUUUGGCUGAGGAGAAACAAAUUCUGAGGGAUAUAAAAAUUCAACAGAAAGAGAAAGAGAAAGAGAAAGAUGUUGCUUCAUUCAAAUCACUAGAAGUGCUUAAGGAAACGAUAUCGGAUAGCGGGUGGAGUAUAUACUACUGUUGGAAAGUUAAAAACGUGGAGCAGAUUAAACGGAAGAAUGAUUUGGAUAAGCUCGUGAUAGAAAUUGAACAAUUUCAAGUCAAACAUAUGGAAAGACAUUCUGGUAAUGAUUUUGAGAAGGGAAAUAUUUCCAACUAUGAAUGCUUGAAGCAAACUAUAAAAUAUCAUAUUAAGUAUCUAUGUGAACGGAAGGAAUCUGAGACCAGAAUUAGAUAUUGUGUGAAAGAACAUGAAGACAUAAAUGCAAAAUUAUAUUCUUUGAGUGCAAAAUUGAUAGAGAAGCAUAAGAAUAAGGAUGAAGCAUAUCAAAGGAUUUUCAAAUUGAAAAAUAUAGUAUCAUGGUGAGGUUAGCUGCUUUAAGCUGGAAUGGUGAAGGUUCUUUUGCAUUUACGUCAAGCAGUGCUUCAUAUGAUGAGUGACUGAUGGCCGUCUUGGUAAGAGAUUAGACAACACAAGAACUCGCCAGGAAGUCGGCUGGGAGCCUAAGUAACCUUAGUUUUGCUCAUUUUCUCGCGAGCAUGUGACAGAUUCCUAAGUGCAUCUUUGCUGUUGGCUCUAAUUAAUGCGGAAGGAACAAUAGAGAGAGAGAUAUUAGGGAAUGCUUGCUGCAGACAGAAAGUUAAUACG